UACGUAGGGGGCUAGCGUUAUCCAGAAUUACUGGGCGUAAAGGGUGCGUAGGUGGUUUCUUAAGUCAGAGGUGAAAGGCUACGGCUCAACCGUAGUAAGCCUUUGAAACUGGGAAACUUGAGUGCAGGAGAGGAGAGUGGAAUUCCUAGUGUAGCGGUGAAAUGCGUAGAUAUUAGGAGGAACACCAGUUGCGAAGGCGGCUCUCUGGACUGUAACUGACACUGAGGCACGAAAGCGUGGGGAGCAAACAGGAUUAGAUACCCGGGUAGUCCCUGAGCGGGCU
rnacentral:rRNA from 1 species